rnacentral:tRNA from 1 species
GCACUAGUGGCGGAAUUGGUAGACGCGCUAGACUCAAAAUCUAGUGAGGUAAUUCUCGUGCCGGUUCGAUUCCGGCCUGGUGUA